AUGAAAUUCUUGACCAUAUACAUACUAAGAUCAUCCCCCAUUACAUAUAUAAUUAGAGCAUUUUCCCAUAAACGUAGUUCAGAUUCCACAUCUUCAUCUUCAAUUUAUAUUUCAACUUGUCCAUUAACUAUAGUUGGAUCCACAUACGACAUCGUCUUGCCUUUUGUUGGGUUCCGAUUGUCACUGAUAACAUCGACCCAUAAUCAUCUCAUCUCUUGUUUCCCUUUUUGCUCUGCAUCUUUUGGAGAAUCUUCCCCUUGUGAUCCUGCAUCAAUUAGGUUUUCGUUCAGUGGUAUCUCCUCUUCUGUUGCUUGUUUCUGA